UACGUAGGGUGCAAGCGUUGUCCGGAAUUAUUGGGCGUAAAGAGCUCGUAGGCGGUUUGUCGCGUCUGCUGUGAAAACUGGAGGCUCAACCUCCAGCCUGCAGUGGGUACGGGCAAACUAGAGUGCGGUAGGGGAGAUUGGAAUUCCUGGUGUAGCGGUGGAAUGCGCAGAUAUCAGGAGGAACACCGGUGGCGAAGGCGGCUCUCUGGAACGCAACUGACGCUGAGACGCGAAAGCGUGGGGAGCAAACAGG
rnacentral:rRNA from 1 species